rnacentral:rRNA from 1 species
UUGACCUCGGAUCAGGUAGGGAUACCCGCUGAACUUAAGCAUAUCAAUAAGCGGAGGAAAAGAAACCAACAGGGAUUGCCCCCA